rnacentral:rRNA from 1 species
CCUACGGGUGGCAGCAGUGAGGAAUAUUGGUCAAUGGGCGUAAGCCUGAACCAGCCAAGUCGCGUGAGGGAUGAAGGUUCUAUGGAUCGUAAACCUCUUUUAUAAGGGAAUAAAGUGAGGGACGUGUCCUAUUUUGUAUGUACCUUAUGAAUAAGGAUCGGCUAACUCCGUGCCAGCAGCCGCGGUAAUACGGAGGAUCCGAGCGUUAUCCGGAUUUAUUGGGGUUAAAGGGUGGGUAGGCGGGCUUUUAAGUCAGCGGGGAAAGUCGGUGGCUCAACCCUAGAAUUGCCGUUGAAACUGUGGAGCUUGAGUAUGUUUAGGGCAGGCGGAAUGCGUGGUGUAGCGGUGAAAUGCAUAGAUAUCACGCAGAACCCCGAUUGCGAAGGCAGCCUGCCAAGCCAUGACUGACGCUGAUGCACGAAAGCGUGGGUAUCAAACAGGAUUAGAUACCCGUGUAGUC